rnacentral:rRNA from 1 species
UACAGAGGAGCCAAGCGUUGUCCGGAUUGACUGGGCGUAAAGCGCACGCAGGCGGUCGGGCGCGUGGGGUGUGAAAUCUGGCCGCUUAACGGCCAGGCGCCAUCCCAUACGGCACGACUGGAGUGAUGCAGAGGUCGAUGGAAUUGCCGGUGUAGUGGUGAAAUGCGUAGAGAUCGGCAGGAACACCCAGGGGGGAAACCAGUCGACUGGGCAUCUACUGACGCUGAGGUGCGAGAGCGUGGGGAGCGAACCGG